GAUCAUGGCUCAGGAUGAACGCUGGCGGCGUGCUUAACACAUGCAAGUCGAACGGGAAACCUUUUAUUGAAGCUUCGGCAGAUUUAAUUUGUUUCUAGUGGCGGACGGGUGAGUAACGCGUGGGUAACCUGCCCUAUACAGGGGGAUAACAACCAGAAAUGGUUGCUAAUACCGCAUAAGCGCACAGGACCGCAUGGUCCGGUGUGAAAAACUCCGGUGGUAUAGGAUGGACCCGCGUUGGAUUAGCCAGUUGGCAGGG
rnacentral:rRNA from 1 species